rnacentral:rRNA from 1 species
ACACUCCUGCGGGAGGCAGCAGUGGGGAAUAUUGGACAAUGGGCGCAAGCCUGAUCCAGCCAUGCCGCGUGAGUGAUGAAGGCCCUAGGGUUGUAAAGCUCUUUCACCGGUGAAGAUAAUGAUUGUAACCGGGGAAGAAGCCCCGGCUAACUUCGUGCCAGCAGCCGCGGUAAUACGAAGGGGGCUAGCGUUUUUCGGUUUUACUGGGCGUAAAGCGCACGUAGGCGGACUAUUAAGUCAGGGGUGAAAUCCCGGGGCUCAACCCCGGAACUGCCUUUGAUACUGGUAGUCUUGAGUUCGAGAGAGGUGAGUGGAAGUCCGAGUGUAGAGGUGAAAUUCGUAGAUAUUCGGAGGAACACCAGUGGCGAAGGCGGCUCACUGGCUCGAUACUGACGCUGAGGUGCGAAAGCGUGGGGAGCAAACAGGAUUAGAUACCCCGGUAGUCCCA